GCUGAUAGGGCUGCUUAGCAGGUUACUUUGAUAUAGUGAUGCGUGGAGUUUAAAACUUUCGUCAGUA
rnacentral:tRNA from 1 species